GUACGGUUGAGCAACCUGGCCUAUCGGCACUUGGACGUGACGGAGAUGAAUUAUCACUCCAACCUACUUUAGGAAAGCAAUGUGCCACAGAUGCCUUAGACGGAACGCGCCUUGCAGAGUUGCGUCCCUUAGCCUCUUACGUCGGAUUCGCAGAACCGCCACGGAACCAUCCCUUUACCGAAACAUCAAGGCUUUCAUGCAGAAACACCAAAGCUUACUACAUGAUUACCGCCAGCACAGCUGCAGACCUUUAAACCGGUCACUAUUCAGACCUUUCCAAGCGUGUUAAGAAUAUUGUAAAUCCAUUAUCGGAUUAUAUAGGAACUCUGGUUGAAAUGUAUGUCACCUUGUGUUUUGUACAGGUUGAUAUUGCUUUGUAAUAAAGUCUACAAAAUAAAGUUC